CUAUACGGCCGUACCGCAAACCGACACUGGUGCGCGAGAUGAGUAUUCUAAGGCGCUUGAGAGAACUCAGGAGAAGGAACUCGGCAAAUUGACACCGUAACUUCGGAAGAAGGUGUGCCCUAUUAGUGUGUAGUGAACAACGAAGCAUGAAUGGGUUGCAAAAAAUCGGUGGCUGCGACUGUUUAUUAAAAACACAGCACUCUGCAAACACGAAAGUGGACGUAUAGGGUGUGACGCCUGCCCGGUGCUGGAAGAUUAAAUGAUGGGGUGCAAGCUCUUGAUUGAAGUCCCAGUAAACGGCGGCCGUAACAAUAACGGUCCUAAGGUAGCGAAAUUCCUUGUCGGGUAAGUUCCGACCUGCACGAAUGGCGUAACGAUGGCCACACUGUCUCCUCCUGAGACUCAGCGAAGUUGAAAUGUUUGUGAUGAUGCAAUCUCCCCGCGGAAAGACGGAAAGACCCCAUGAACCUUUACUGUAGCUUUGUAUUGGACUUUGAACAGAUCUGUGUAGGAUAGGUGGGAGGCUUUGAAGCAGGGUCGCUAGAUCUUGUGGAGCCAACGUUGAAAUACCACCCUGGUGUGUUUGAGGUUCUAACCUAGGUCCAUUAUCUGGAUCGGGACAGUGCAUGGUAGGCAGUUUGACUGGGGCGGUCUCCUCCCAAAGCGUAACGGAGGAGUUCGAAGGUACGCUAGUUACGGUCGGACAUCGUGACGAUAGUGCAAUGGCAUAAGCGUGCUUAACUGCGAGACUGACAAGUCGAGCAGAUGCGAAAGCAGGACAUAGUGAUCCGGUGGUUCUGUAUGGAAGGGCCAUCGCUCAACGGAUAAAAGGUACUCUGGGGAUAACAGGCUGAUACCGCCCAAGAGUUCAUAUCGACGGCGGUGUUUGGCACCUCGAUGUCGGCUCAUCUCAUCCUGGGGCUGUAGCCGGUCCCAAGGGUAUGGCUGUUCGCCAUUUAAAGAGGUACGUGAGCUGGGUUUAAAGCGUCGUGAGACAGUUUGGUCCCUAUCUUCCGUGGGCGCUGCAGAUUUGAGGAAGCCUGCUCCUAGUACGAGAGGACCGGAGUGGACACACCUCUGGUGUAUCGGUUGUCACGCCAGUGGCAUUGCCGAGUAGCUAAGUGUGGAAGAGAUAACCGCUGAAAGCAUCUAAGCGGGAAACUCGUUUCAAGAUGAGAUCUGCCGGGGCCUUGAGCCCCCUAAAGAGUCGUUCAAGACCAGGACGUUGAUAGGUCAGGUGUGGAAGUGAAU
rnacentral:rRNA from 1 species